rnacentral:hammerhead_ribozyme from 1 species
AUUCAACUGACGAGUCCCAAAUAGGACGAAACGUGCGUCCUGGAU